rnacentral:rRNA from 1 species
GAUGAACGCUGGCGGCGUGCCUAAUACAUGCAAGUCGAGCGAACAGACGAGGAGCUUGCUCCUCUGACGUUAGCGGCGGACGGGUGAGUAACACGUGGAUAACCUACCUAUAAGACUGGGAUAACUUCGGGAAACCGGAGCUAAUACCGGAUAAUAUAUUGAACCGCAUGGUUCAAUAGUGAAAGACGGUUUUGCUGUCACUUAUAGAUGGAUCCGCGCCGCAUUAGCUAGUUGGUGAGGUAACGGCUUACCAAGGCAACGAUGCGUAGCCGACCUGAGAGGGUGAUCGGCCACACUGGAACUGAGACACGGUCCAGACUCCUACGGGAGGCAGCAGUAGGGAAUCUUCCGCAAUGGGCGAAAGCCUGACGGAGCAACGCCGCGUGAGUGAUGAAGGUCUUCGGAUCGUAAAACUCUGUUAUUAGGGAAGAACAAAUGUGUAAGUAACUAAGCACGUCUUGACGGUACCUAAUCAGAAAGCCACGGCUAACUACGUG